AAAAAAUAUAACAAACAAGGCUAGCUUGGUAAGUUUACAGAUUCAAACCACAAAACAAUUUUCUUGGAACACAAGGAAAAACUUAAACGACUAACAAUGUGGAAAGAAUUUCAUGUACUUAAGUUUCCUUCCCAUAAUUUCCACUAUAAACAAAAAAUUUUCCAAAGUCCAUAAUUUAUCUAUACUAAAAAUGUCCUUUGCAU
rnacentral:misc_RNA from 1 species